GACGAACGCUGGCGGCGUGCCUAAUACAUGCAAGUUGAGCGCUGAAGGUUGGUACUUGUACCCACUGGAUGAGCAGCGAACGGGUGAGUAACGCGUGGGGAAUCUGCCUUUGAGCGGGGGACAACAUUUGGAAACGAAUGCUAAUACCGCAUAAAAACUUUAAACACAAGUUUUAAGUUUGAAAGAUGCAAUUGCAUCACUCAAAGAUGAUCCCGCGUUGUAUUAGCUAGUUGGUGAGGUAAAGGCUCACCAAGGCGAUGAUACAUAGCCGACCUGAGAGGGUGAUCGGCCACAUUGGGACUGAGACAGGGCCCAAACUCCUACGGGAGGCAGCAGUAGUGAAUCUUCGGCAAUGGACGAAAGUCUGACCGAGCAACGCCGCGUGAGUGAAGAAGGUUUUCGGAUCGUAAAACUCUGUUGGUAGAGAAGAACGUUGGUGAGAGUGGAAAGCUCAUCAAGUGACGGUAACUACCCAGAAAGGGACGGCUAACUACGUG
rnacentral:rRNA from 1 species